AAUGACAGUACCUGGUAAAGAAACCCCGGCUAACUCCGUGCCAGCAGCCGCGGUAAUACGGAGGGGGUUAGCGUUGUUCGGAAUUACUGGGCGUAAAGCGCACGUAGGCGGACCAGAAAGUUGGGGGUGAAAUCCCGGGGCUCAACCCCGGAACUGCCUCCAAAACUUCUGGUCUGGAGUUCGAGAGAGGUGAGUGGAAUUCCGAGUGUAGAGGUGAAAUUCGUAGAUAUUCGGAGGAACACCAGAGGCGAAGGCGGCUCACUGGACCGAUACUGACGCUGAGGAGCGAAAGCGUGGGGAGCAAACAGGAUUAGAUACCCUGGUAGUCCACGCCGUAAACGAUGAGAGCUAGUUGUCUGG
rnacentral:rRNA from 13 species